AUGAUUGGUGGAACAGGCCUGGGACAGUAUGCACCUAGUAUGAUUGCAUUUACAAAGACGGGGAUCGCAGCUGCUAAGAUUUUCCGGAUAAUCGAUCACAAGCCUGGAAUAGACAGAAACAGAGAACCAGGAUUGGAAUUGGAGACAGUUACUGGACUUGCUGAGCUGAAAAUGUUGACUUUUCUUACCCCUCUAGGCCUGAUGCAAACCAGGUUGAGAUUGAAGAAGCUUCUAGGGUUGCUAAUUCUUAUUCAUUUAUCAUAA